rnacentral:lncRNA from 1 species
UGAAAUUCAAUUUCCAAUGAGCAUUACAAAAAUUGAAUGAUGGCAACUAUACUACAUUGACGGAAUUAAUCUCAUUGUUUGUGACUUCAGCAAAAUUCCUAAGGACUUGAGCAGCAUAUGGGCUGUUUGCAAAAGACUUAUAUAUCUUCAUAGAGUGCUGCUAGGUAUCUAGAAAGCCGAGAGAAACGGCAUACAAUAAUGCCGUUUCUUCAGCGUUUUGCUCUCAAUAAAAAAAAAACAAAACAAAAGCAUUUUAAAAUCUGCCGGUAUUAAAAAAAAAAAAAAACAGUGCCAUUUUUCCUCUCACUCCAGCAGCAGCUUCGUCUCCGUCUCCCCAGCUUCGUGCCCGUCUCCCCUCUCCCUCGCUCGCUACUACUCCAGAUCUACUCGGUGGUCGCUACUCGCUGCUCGGUGGUGUUGCUUGCUGGUCCUCGUCUCCCUCGUCUCUCUCCAUCUCCCUCUCUAUGUUUGGUAGGUAGUUAUUUUUUGAUAAUUAUUUUUUGUUGAGUGAUUUUUUUUUAUCAGUUACGAAGCAAGCCCACAUUCUGAACAAGCAAUUCUUGAAUCUGCUGGUGAUUGAUGGUAGGUGGGAGAAGGGCAGGUCCCUUUCUGUGUCUAGCAAGCAAUCCUUUAGUAACAGGUGACAUCAUUGAAUCAGUUGGGCUCCUGUACCUUUCACUUUCAGGGUACUUGAAUGCUUUAGGCACUUUAAUCCGAUUUGGGGUGUUAGUUUUCCUCGAUUCUUGAGGCUGAGGAUGCGUUUUUGUUUUGUACUCCUCCAUUGCCAUAAUAAGCUUGCAGCUGCUGCGUGAUGAUUCAGGUUCAGGCGCGGGACAACUCUUCUUCAAUGCAAGCGUUUCAAUAGCGUUCUCCAUUGUUAAUUCCCUUGUUUAUGUUUAAUUAAAGAGAAAUAUUGGAAGGAAGAAGAAGCGGAUACACAGACAGAGCACUAGCAGGCUAGCACCUGUUGAGUGAUUGUUUUGUUGGGAAUUAUUUUGGUAAUUGUAUUGUUGAUAAUUAAUUUUUUAUAAUUGUUGGUAAUUUGUUGAGUCAUUAUUUUGUUAAUUGUAUCGUUGAUAAUUAUUUUUUGAUAAUUAUUUUAAUAAUUAAAUUAUGAUAAUUUUUGAUAAUUUUGUUUGGUAAUUAUUUUGUUGGGAAUUAUUUUUUUUGGUAAUAAUUUUUUAUUUUUUGUGGCAAUUAAAGUAGUUUAAUAUUGAUAAUGUAGCACAAAUCAAAGUCGAAAUUCACUUCAAAAUAUACAAUGAAUGUGGUGGUCAAAUGAAGUUGUUAACAUCAAAUCUAAAUCACAACGCAAUUUUGAGAUAUAUACAGCGCAAUUGAUGGAAUCUCAACUAUAGUUUCUUCUCUCAUAUCAUAUACUAAGGAAAAAGAUUUUUUGGAUGAUUGUCAACUCUCAAUGUUUAUUUUCUUGUCUUAGCCGAAAAGAAUGGAUGCACAUUCCAAACUUGCUGAUAGAGAGGCAUUAGGCUGUUAGUUGCUUCUGCUACCAAGGUUCGAAUGUUUAUUGAUUCAUUUGCCAAAGAAUUAUAUAUAUUAUAGGCUGCAAUUACUUCUGUUAAUGCUGAAUUUAUUAAGAUCAAUUUGUUAUUAAUUACUUGCGUUAUGAAUGAGCAAAUACUCCUGCCCUAAUGCCGUUUUCUAUGCUUGUGAAACGAGAGAAACAUCCCAACUCAAUCCUUUCACGUGAGGAGUAGUGCUUUUCAGCUGGAAUCAAACGUGGGGGAGAAUUAAAAAUGUGGAAAAAGCAAAAGGAGCAAAAGUUCACGUGUUGGUGUGGGGGGGGGGCCCAGAGAAACGGCAUUACUGUAUGUCGUUUCUCUCGGCAUUCUCUCGGCAUUCUCGCUGAGAAGCAUUUUCCAUCUUCAUAUCAUCAGCCAUAUAUGUGUCUUGUAUGCAUAUAUUAUAAAGGAAUUAAUGGGUAGCUAUAUUUCACAAAAAGUCGAUGACCAUGUGUAUGUGAUGUAUUGGCAACUCUUGCACGGCUCUAUUAUGUUCACCAAAAAGUGGUGGUGGCG